GAUGAACGCUGGCGGCGUGCCUAAUACAUGCAAGUCGAGCGAACAGACGAGGAGCUUGCUCCUCUGACGUUAGCGGCGGACGGGUGAGUAACACGUGGAUAACCUACCUAUAAGACUGGGAUAACUUCGGGAAACCGGAGCUAAUACCGGAUAAUAUCUUGAACCGCAUGGUUCAAUAGUGAAAGACGGUUUUGCUUUCACUUAUAGAUGGCUCCGCGCCGCAUUAGCUAGUUGGUAAGGUAACGGCUUACCAAGGCAACGAUGCGUACCCGACCUGGGAGGGGGAUCGCCCACACUGGACUGGAGCAAGGGUCCAGACUCCAAGGGGAGGCACAAGAAGGGAAUCUUCCGCAAUGGGGGAAGGCCUAACGGAGCAAGGCCGGGGGAGGGAGAAAGGUCUCGGGAUCGUAAAACUCUGUGGUAAGGGAAGAAGAAAUUGGUAAGUAACUAUGCACGUCGUGACGGUACCUAAUCAGAAAGCCACGGCUAACUACGUG
rnacentral:rRNA from 1 species